UAGGGGGUAGUGUAGCGGGAGCACCAGGAGUUUUGAUCUCCUGAGGGUGGGUUCGACCCCCACCCCUCUAA
rnacentral:tRNA from 1 species